UUUCUGUUACAGGAGCAUCAGCACAAAUGCGCAGUUGAGAAAACAGGACGUCAGAGGCAAGGAGCAUGGGUGGCAAGAAGACACAGCGAGGCCCAAGCACUGAGACCUUGAGAAGAAGGCGGGGAAAUGCUCAAUGCCAUUUUAGCCUCCCAGGCCGAGCCACCCUGAGCCAGCAUCUCUCUCCUGUCUGUAUUCACCACCUCUUAUCUUCCAGGCUGUCUGUUCUGAAAGUGCUGGAUCUGGCCAGUUGCUCUUUGAAGAAGCAAACAAGCAAAAUAAGAGCAGCCCAUUCAAACGAACCUCUGGAGCCAUGGAGAUCUCCACACCAGAUGGCCAAAUUGAGAGGGAAACCUACAGUGGCUUAUCCCGGGUUUCCCCGCUCUGCUCUCAGCUGCCACGAACUGAACAGCUUUGCUCCAGCCACCACGCCUUGCCACCCUGAUGUUUCUGCCAUGUAGCCAGGGGCCUGUGGAGUGAAUUCCCUGAGACUGUGAGCCAAGAUUGGAAGACACAAGCUGCCGAAGGAAAAAUGAUAGGCAUUCCAGACCGGCUCGGAGAAGAGGCAGGAAAGUUCACAAAUGUGGCCCCGUGGCUUUUUCACAGGAGCCUGGUGAAAUAGGAUCCUAUGAGCGGGACAGAGAAUUCUGGGGAAAUAAA